AGUGAACGCUGGCGGCAGGCCUAACACAUGCAAGUCGAACGGCAGCACAGAGGAGCUUGCUCCUUGGGUGGCGAGUGGCGGACGGGUGAGGAAUACAUCGGAAUCUGCCUUGUUGUGGGGGAUAACGUAGGGAAACUUACGCUAAUACCGCAUAAGACCUUAGGGUGAAAGCGGAGGACCUUCGGGCUUCGCGCGACAAGAUGAGCCGAUGUCGGAUUAGCUAGUUGGCGGGGAAUGGCCCACCAAGGCGACGAUCCGUAGCUGGUCUGAGAGGAUGAUCAGCCACACUGGAACUGAGACACGGUCCAGACUCCCACGGGAGGCAGCAGUGGGGAAUAUUGGACAAUGGGCGCAAGCCUGAUCCAGCCAUGCCGCGUGU
rnacentral:rRNA from 1 species